rnacentral:rRNA from 1 species
UACGUAGGGUGCGAGCGUUAAUCGGAAUUACUGGGCGUAAAGCGUGCGCAGGCGGUGAUGUAAGACAGGUGUGAAAUCCCCAGGCUUAACCUGGGAACUGCGUCGGAUACUGGUUGGCUUGAAUCCGGGAGAGGGAUGCGGAAUUCCUGGUGUAGCGGUGAAAUGCGCAGAUAUCAGGAAGAACACCGACGGCGAAGGCAGCUCGCUGGGACGGUACUGACGCUGAGGCGCGAAAGCGUGGGGAGCGAACAGG